rnacentral:lncRNA from 1 species
GAGACACUGGUAUGGCAUACAGGUGAGAUGUACUAGUACAUCAUCAUUGAACGUGACCAACUCCAGAGUAUUCUACUAUCGAGAAUGUCUUUGAUGGGAUAUAGGUAUAAGUGUCCCUUAGACUUGAGAUCACCUCAGUGACUUGCAAGCAACUCACUGUGCUUUGGUACUGGACUAACUGAAUUUCUAAUUCAGGGAUGGAAGGCUUCUGG